AAGGUACUUGACUGUCACUUUUAUAAGCUUCUCCUUGGUUCUGGCGUUCACAUGAAUAAAGAGACAAACAUAAAUUAACCAACCCAAUUAAUUCAACAUGUUUAGUCCUUUGAUCUUUGUUCUUAGUACUACCUUCGUGAUCCCACACUCCUAAUCAUAUAAGCUAAAAUGUUGCACAUUCAAUCUUUGGAAGAUAUAAAUAAAAACAUAAAUAAAGAUAGAUUAUCUUUCCAUUAUGUUGAGCGAUCUGAUCUGACAAAUGUUUUAAAUACUACACUCAUGAUCUUAUUAUCCAUCAAAUUUGUCUUGCUCCCUAUGCUUAAGGAUAGAGAAGAUAUACUUUUGGUUUUGUUGGUGUUUUCCACCAACAGGACCCAUGCACUUGAUCUCUGCCUUGUCUCUAUGAGCAGAACACAUUUUGAGAAACGUGGAAGAUUUUUCAACUCCCAGACUCUACCAAGUGAAGGACGUGGAUCUACGAGCACAAACACACUGAGCAGGAUGUUGCCAACACCGCACUUCAAACUGCUGGGCUAACGAAGAACAUGGGUGACACCGUAUCAAGAGGUGCAGACGUCAAGGUCCACACCUGAAUCAAAUGACGCACCUAAAGAAUGAACACGGUGAGAAGUCUUGUUCAGAAGACUUAAAACGUUGAACCCUCGCCGAAAGGUAAAAUCGGUAGUUAUCCAUAUUUAUCCUUUCUACAUUCCCUUUCCAUCAAAUUAUUGACUUUCCUUAAUAGCUUGUCAGUUAAUCAUGCUAUAUUGAAAAGAAAUUAAAAAUGUUAAAACUAGUAAGCCCCAUGUGAGUAUGCUCGUGACAUAAAACCCAUAAGUACAUUCACUGUGGUGGCGUAAAAAUAAAAUAAAUAUAUUCCUGUCCUAUAGAAAUGAAAAUAUAAAAAUAAAUUUAUGAUCCUACCAAAGAGAGUAAUAUUUAUUAGAGGAAGCACAACAUGAUAAAGGCAAAGAGAUUUUUAUGCUAACACUUAACCAGUUCCACAAAGCUUUGUUGUCUAUUUGAGCUCCACAGAAUUCAAGGAUCAAAGAAGACUAGCAGACGAAGGACAUCCUAAUUACUGUCAGCGUGCUGCCGACAUUCAAAUACACCUCCACCACCUGCUAGCUACAUCAGAAGAAUUACAUCAAAAUCUAGCUUGGGGGAGAGCACCCCCAUUUAUCCAGCUAAGUGUUUCUACGCAUUUAUACUUUACUCAAAUAAUAAAAAGAUGCAUAAUCAUAAAAACCCAAAUAAAGAUAUUGUGCUUAUAUAUAUAUCUUUGCUUAGUUUUCUAAAUAAAUAAAUAAAUAAAAUUUGCUAUGAACCCUUAUGAUAAGCUCUCACAUGGAAAUGAUGAAUAGUUGCUCUGCCAUGACUAGUUCUUAAAAUUGAAUUAUCUCUCAAGUUUAGGCAUGACUGUUAUGAAUUAAGAUUUGCUCUAAACCUGGACUUGUGGGAAGAGUACCUCAUCAAAAGUCUAAGUCGUUAAUAGAUAUGAUAUGGGAAGGUUGAGUUGCUAUUUAUCUGUUUGUAGAGAUGCUAGAAUUCUGGAGAAUUUUAUCUUUGAAAAUCUUUAAAAUUUUGCAUGAUGAGUUCCUGUAUGAUGAGAGUUUAAAAUCCUACCAUAGCCAUAUAUACAUGCUUAUUAGACUAUGAACCAUACAUUUACUUUUUACUACUUGUGAGCAUUGAGUGUGAUCAAGCUGUGUAGACCCUUAGGAGCUUGUCAUGUGGUUAAAAUUAAGAUUCACUUGCACGUUCACUCAUACAUGCUGCUUCUACUCCGGAAGUAUGCAUCCACAUACAUCCACUCAUUUCCAUCUCUAGAUUCACCCAAAAUUAUUCUACUCCUAUCCGGGAGAGAAUAGCUAAAAACAUUAUCCCAUUCUUGCUUUUCCCUGUGAAAUAAAUGCUCGAGAUAUUUUGGUUACUACCACUUGCUACAUUAUUCCAGGAGGGUGAGUGCUCUAAAAAAAAGAGAGAGAAGAAAAAAGAAAAAUACGAGGAAAUAAAAAGGGGCAAGUGCCCGGAACCUCGAAGAAAAGAAAAAGUGAGACGAGAGGUAAAAAUGGACAAGUGUCCGACAGUAGAAUUAGGGGUACAAGAUACCCACCUGAGAGAAAAGAAAAAAUAAAAUAUAGAGCAUCUCAUUCCCCUCAAAAAAGUUUCAAAAGUGCAAGAAAGGUAUGUAUCCCCUCAAAAGAGCAAAAGUAGAAUUAGACAUUCACCAUUGUUUUCACCAUUGUUAUUACUAUCAUCACCAUACACCAUUCAUUCGCCACACGUGCACAUCUUGAUAUUGACUUAUUGACAUGUUUCUCUGCAUCCAUGGUUUGACUAUGCAAUAAAUGUCUUGUAAGUAUGUAUGCUUUAUCUCCCACCUAUGAGCAACAGAUAUCAAAACCUUAUUAGAGUAGGGUGAGAGAGAAGGCAAUGUCACUAUGCCUCAUACCAAAAAUACCACAUACUUUGAGAGAAGGCAUAUACCACAAAAGAGAGACUAGAGAGAGUCAUACAGGAAUCUCUGAGUUUUAUUUGAAAAUCUGCAAAAACUCUAGAGCUAUAGUUGAUCAAAGAACAAGAGACAUGGCGCUUGACUUGACCGUUGCAAGUGACGGUUGCAAGCCCCAUGGUGGAAGGUAAUAUGAGUAAGUUUAAAUCUUAAUAGUUUACCCUAACCGAGAGAUGAGACCUUAUUUGAAAGCAUGUGUAUCGUCAACUUUCUAAGGCAUUGUAGCAAUUUCUAAUCCAUCACUAAGUCUAUCCUUGCUCAGGGACGAGCAAGAGGUAAUCUUGGUGGAGUUUGUUGACGGUCCUUAAGUAACCGACACCUAGACUUAGGGUUUUAUCUGACAUAAUUCCACGAGUUUUGGUGUUUGUCUAUUUCUGCAGGGGAUUGUUGCGUAUUCUUACCAUCACUACCAAAAGUAGACAGUUUUCUAAUUCUAGUAACGGUGCCAAAAAUGCCAAACCUAUCCCUCAUACCACUUAAGCCAAGUUGUGAUCCCCAACAUGACAUGACAGACGCGGUAUUGAAAUAUGCAAUUGCUCUUCUAAAUAAAUAAUGAAUGGGAUCUGCAAGCGCACAGAUUAAUACCGAUGUAGCAUUUUAAUCGGGAAGUAUUCCAGGUAUCGUUAUUUAUAUUUUUACCACUGGGAAGGGAUUAGCAAUCAUCAAUAUUGAUUAUAUAAUAGAAUACGAGAUUGAGUAUCUAUCAUUGCAUGUAUAAUUGAGAACAUUUAUCUAACUCUUUCAUACAGGGAUAAGUGUCACAUAAAAGAUAUAUGAAGUAAUGAAUAGUGACAAAGAUAAUUAAUCUGAUCAACAUAACUUAGCCACAUAUAAAUAUGAUAAGCACCUCAAUUAGAUACUCUAGAAAGUGAUUAGCAUGGUAUUAGAAUGAACUACAAGAAUAUUUCCUAAGUUAUUCUCAACUAUAUAGUCUAGCAUAUCAUAGUUAGUGCAAGCAUACUUAGCAAUCAUUGCGAGACAAGACUACGCCCAUGCAUAGUGAUAUUAGCAAGGUAAAUGAGAAACAUAGCAAUCACUCCCCUGUAAUAAUGUUGCUCUGCCAGCCCAAUACAAGAGAGGGGGACUAUAUAAGAAUCAAUGAAGCUGUCACUAUCACGAACUACCCCACGGUCUGGCAUAUUGGGUACAAUCGUAGAUAAAUAUGGUAUAAGCACCACGCCUACACAAUAUCUAUCAUUUACCCAUGGAUCCGAUGGAUAAAUGCUAUACGAUCCUAAACAUGUAUAUAGAUCCAAUCUAACUAAGCCAAGUAUAUAACUAUGAUAAACUAAGAACAAUAUAAUCUUGAAUAUAAACAAGUAGAGCAAAGUCAUAAGCAAUAUAUUGAAGUAGAACAAAGUCAUAUUCAUAAUAUUGAAGAACAGAGAUAAUUAUAAGAACAAUUAGAAGCAUAAUUAGGGAAUUACCAAGAAUACUCUUGACAGAUCCGAAAACCAAUCGAAGAUUGACUCCUUCUAGUUCUAAUCCUAUGUAGCUAUGCUAAUCUAGAUAUCUAAUUGAUGUGGUGGCUCUAGGCUUGAUCAGAGGCUUCUUCUCCCUUGAGGAAUAAUGAAUUAGGGUUGAGAGGCUCUCUCCUCCAGGGGCCAGGGGGUCUGGUUUUAUAGUCUCUGCAAGUGAAUAUGGGCCGUUGGAUCAAACCGACAUUGAUUUAACGGUUAUUCUUGAUCCUUUAGGUCGGUGGAGAUCUUUCCCAAAAGAGAGUCCUAUUUGGACUCCAACAGGGGGCGGGCGCCCGGUGCCUGGCCCCGUUCGGCCUCCGCUUCCUUCUCAUGGCUUCUGUAGUCUUCUAGAUGUAAGAUAAUUGCACGGUUCGUUGAUAUCUCUAUGUAAUCUCGACGUGUGGGCCUUUCUUCCGUAUUUCCUGAUAACCCCCUGCAGAAAUAGACAAACACCAAAACUCGUGUAAUUCUAUCAGAUAAAACCCUAAGUCUAGAUGUUGAUUUCAUUUGGAUCCUUUUCUUUGUAUAUUUGUUAGUUAAAUUUGAUACUUAAGGACCGUCAACAAACUCCCCCAAGCUUACCUCUUGCUCGUCCCUGAGCAAGGAUAGAUUAGAAGUUGCUGCAAUUCUUUUAAAAAUUGACGGUACACAUGCUUUUAAAUAAGGUCUCAUCUCUGAGUUAGAGUAAACUGUCAAGGCUUAAAACUUACUUUACCUUCCACCAUGGGACUUGUAACCGUCACUUGUAUCUUGAGUAGUUAAAAGAUAGAACGGUCUAAUCAAGUGCCAUGUCUCUUAUUCUUGAUCAGCUAUAGCUCUGGAGUUUUUACAGAUUUUCAAAUAAAACUCAGUGAUUCCUUGUAUCACUCUCUCAAAUCUCUCUUUUGUGGUAUUUCUAGAUCCUUACCAAGGCAGUGAUGGUAUAUGCCUUCUCUCAAAGUAUGUGGUAUUUGUAGUAUAAGGCAUAGUAACAUUGCCUUCUCUCUCACCCUACUCUAAUAAGGCUUUUAUAUUUGGAGCUCAUUGGUGGGAGAUAAAAUAUACAUACUCACAAGACAUUUAUUGUAUAGUCAAACCAUGGAUCCAAAGAAACAAAUCAAUAAGUCAAAUCAAGAUGUGCAUGUGUGGCGAAUGUAUGGUGUAUGGUGAUGGUGAUAACAAUGGUGAAAGUCUAAUUCUACUUUUGCUCUUUGAGGGGAUACAUACCUUCCUUGCUCUUUGAAACUUUGAGGAGAAUGUGAUGCUCUUCUUUUUUCUUUUUCUUUCUUUCCUCUCAGGUGGGUAUCUUGUACCCCUAAUUCUACUAUCGGACACUUGUCCAUUUUUACCUCUCGUCUCACUUUUUCUUUUCUUUCGAGGUUCCGGGCACUUGCCCCUUUUUAUUUCCUCGUAUCUUUUUUUUAGAGCACUCAUCUCAUGAGAUAAUAUAGCAAGUGGUAGUAACAAGAUAACUUGAGCAUUUAUUUCACAAGGGAAAAACAUAAAUGUUUUUGGCUAUUCUCUCCCGGAUUAGGAGUAGAAUAUUUUUGGGUGGUUCUGGAGAUGGAAAUGGGUGGAUAUAUGUAGAUGGUACUUCCGGAGUAGAAGUAGCAUAUGUGAGUGAACGUGCAAGUGGAUCUUGAUUUAACCACAUGACAAGCUUCUAAGGGUCUACACAGCUGGAUCACACUCAAUGCUCAUAAGCAGUAAAUAGUAAAUGUGUGGCUCAAAGUCUAGCAAGCAUGUAUAUAUGGCUGUGGUAGGAAUUUAAACUCUCAUCAUACAGGAACUCAUCAUGUGAUAUUUUAAGCAUUUUUAAAGAUAAAAUUCUCAAGAAUUCUAGCAUCUCUAGGAACAGAUAAACAGCAGCUCAACCUUCCCAUAUUGUAUCCGUUAACAACUUAGAUUUCAGAUCAAGUUUUCAUCCCACAAGUUUAGGUUUAGAGCAAGCUUUAAAUUAUAACAGUUAUGUCUAAACUUGAGAGAGAACUUAAAUUGAAAAUUAGGCAGAGCAACUAUUCAUCAUAUCCGUGGUAGAGUUUUUAUCAUUAAGAUUCAGAUUAGCAUAGCCACUUUAUUUAUUUAUUAAGAACACUAAGCAAAAGAUAUAUAUAUUUAUAAGCAUAAACUCUUUAUUUGGUUUUUCAUAGUUAUGUAUAUUUAAUAUAGUAAAAGUAUAAAGAUAGAUAGAAAUACUUAUCGAGAUAAAUGGGGGUGCUCUCCCCCAAGCUGAAUUUUGACGUAAUUCCUCUUGAUGUAGCUAGUAGGUGGCAGAGGUGUAUUUGAAAGUCGGCAAUAUUCUGACAGCGAUUAGAAUGUCCUCCGUCUGCUAGUCUUCUUGAUUCUUGAUUUCUGUGGAGCUCAAAUAGACAACAAAGCUUUGUGGAACUCAUUAAGUGUUAGCAUAAAUAUCUAGCCUUUAUUGUGUUGAGUCUCCUCAAUCUUACUCUCUAUAUUUAUAUUUUCAUUUAUAAUGCAGAAAGGAAAUAUUUGUUUUAUUUUUAUGCCACCACAGUGAAUGUACUUAUGAGUUGCAUGCCACUCGUAUACUCACAUGGGGCUUACUAUUUUUUAACAUUUUUAUUUUAUUUUUAGGAUAGUAUGAACAUGAUUAACUAAGCAAACUAUUUUAAAUAAUUGACAGGAAAAAAGAUAACUACCAAGUUUACCUCUUGGCAAGGCAUUCGUUGUUUUUAUGUCCUCCGAACGGGAAUCUCCGUUUUCUUCAAUUGUCCUAGGAUUCGUUGGGUGGCGGAGUCGGUACUACCGGCAGCGCCUCUGUUGACGGUCCUUAAGUAUCAAAUUUAAUUAUCAAAUAAACAAAGAAAAGCAUCCAAAUGAAAUCAACUUAGGGUUUUAUCUGACAGAAUUCCACGAGUUUUGUUGUUUGUCUAUUUCUGCAGGGGGUUAUCAGGAAAUACGAAAGAAAGGCCCACACGUUGGGAUUACAUAGAGAUAUUAACGUGCCGCGCAAUUAUCUUACAUCUAGAAGACUCCAGAAGCCACGGGAAGGAAGCUGAAGCCGAACGGGGCCAGAGGCAGGGCGCCCGCCCUCCUGCCCUGCGCGCCCGCCCUGACUUGGAGCCCAAUCAGGACUCUUUCUCUCGGGAGAUCUCCACCGACCUAAAGGAUCAAGAAUAACCGUUCAAUCAAUGUCGGUUUGAUUCGACGGCCUAGGUUCACUUGAGGGGACUAUAUAACCAGACCCCCUGGCCCCUGGAGCAGGCAACCCCUUGAUCAUUAUUCAUUAUUCAUAGACAGAGCAAAAGCUAGGGUUUAGAGAUGAGGGCUCUCCUCUCUUCUCUAAACUAGAGUAGAUCUAGAUAGUAGCAAGAUGGAGAGCGAAGGAGGAUUAGAGUAGAGGCCGGCCUGUCGGUUCUUCCUCCGGUUGUACUUCGUCAUGAUCAAGCUCUAAUCAAGCUUGCUCAUGGGAUGACUCUGGUAAUCUACUUCUAAUUCAUUAUGCAAUUACUAAUUAUGUAUGUUCUGGUUCACAACUCUUUUGAGUACUUUAAUCUAUAGGACGCUAUAGGUGAGAGUUGUAGUAUAGGUGUAAGCGUGGUGCUUAGACCUAGAUUACUUGUGGAUAUCCCCUGUCUAGCUGGAUCGUGUGGUAGGCCGCGUAGGUGACAGUUACGUUGGUCCUCUGUAGUCCACCUCUCGUUAGCAGGACGGGUAGGGUUUAUCGGCCUAUGGAUACGCAUCCUUUGUGGUGUAUUCUUAUCACGUGGUUCGUCCCAGACAUAGACAUACCCCUUUGAAGUAGAGAAACCAUAGUUAUCCUCUCUAUUCUGCUACCAUCGCCCAUAUACUAGAAUUGCUCUACUCUCUAUUCAGAUAUUAUCACUCACUGUUAUCUUACCUUUAAUAUUGUUCUUAUUCGAUUCUACCAUCUUUCCUAUCUACACUUAUUUACUUAUCUUGAUUAAGUUACAGCAUAGAUCAGUUUUCCCGUUUCCCUGUGGAUACGAUAAAACCUUUAACCGGAUAAAAGCUUCAACGGUAUCCAUGCGCUUGCGGAUUAUCUGUGUGCGUAUAAAUACCAUAGUACACUCUAGUGCCAUGCUGGGGAUGACAACCUAGUAUUCAAGUGGUGUUAGCAAGUGUCAACAAGCAUUUUUGGCUCCGUUGCUGAUGAAACGGUUGCUGAGCUGACUACGAACUAGCUUAAUCAUUUUCUAAAAAAAAAUAGAAAAAAUAUUUUCCUUUUGUCCUUUGCCUCAUCUAUGCUAAUCAUUCUUCUUAUCUAAUCCUUGAUCUGUGGUCUAUCAUGAAUUCAAACAUGUCUAUCUAUGAAUUUCAUAGACCUACGGGCACACAUCCCGAACCACCAAAAUCUUCAAAGCCUAUCAUAGCAUCUAGUUUUGAGAUAGACCCCGAAUACAUAGAAUUUGUUCAAAAAAAACCUUUCUCAGGAGAAGGUGAGGAAAACCCAUACACACACCUAAGAGAGUUUUAUCGAGUCUGUGACCUCCUUCGCGUAGAAGGAAUGUCCGAUGAGACCCUCAAAUGGAAGCUCUUUCCGUUCUCUUUAACGGGAAAAGCUAGACAUUGGUACAAACUCAAAGUAGGGAGUGUUCAUGGAGAUUGGAAGGAGUUACAUAAUAGUUUUCUUUUAAAAUAUUUUCCAAUCUCUAAAUUGGCGGAACUUUGGCGUGAGAUUAUUUCUUUUAGACAACUAGAAGAAGAAUCUCUUGGCAAAUCAUGGGACCGCUUUAUUAACCUUACUCUCACUGGCCCCAAAGCUUUCUAUUCCAGAAGAAGUUCUUCUAAUUCACUUUUUUGAGGGCCUUAGUGGGGAAAAUAAGAAAACCUUGAAUACUGCCUCUAGAGGAUCCUUCUACCACCUACCUGCUAGUGAAGCUUGGAAUUUGAUUGAUUUAUUAAGUAGAAAGUCUCCUAGCUUUUAUAUCCUUGAGAAAGAGAAAGAACCAGUUCCUAGACAAGAAGAAGAAGUUUCGAUAGCCAGAUCACAACCAAUUCAAUUCCAAACUUUACCUAUCGAUCCUAAACCAUCAAUACCCCAAAAUUCUCCAAGGGAGGAAGGAAUUCCGACCUUAAAUCUUUUAGAUGCUGAUGGUUUAGACUUCUGGUUCCAUAAGAGACCUUCAAGCAGGGAUAAUUCAAAUCCUCGCAAUAAUGGUUCUCUUAGAGAAUGUCCUGGUUCCUGUUAUGAAGAAGUCGAGGAUGACAUAUCAAGUGAAGGAGAGCUAAGCCAUAUUAAAAAUUCUAACACCUCCCCUUUCCUGAUCAUAAGUUCUAAAUGGCUAGAAUGUGUAGAAUGGAUGGAUAAGGAAGAAGCCUUAAUGAUUUCUGACUUUGGAUUCAUCCAACUAUAGAAGAGGACAUAAGUGAGACCAAUCCAAGAGAAACUCUGAAUAUUCAGAUUGGAGACGAAGAUACCAUUAAUGAGCAUGGAAUUUAUUUCAUAGCCACUUUGUUUACUCCAUGCUCAUAUGCAACAUCUUCCCAAUCUAUUGGUCUCUCCAACAUCACCACAUUUGAGAUCUCGAACCCCCUCUUCCUUUCUAUUUAUAAAAACUUUAAAAGGGCGGUUGUCGAUGCAUAUGUCUAUAAUAAAUAUUGCAGAUCUCGUUGAGUUGAUCUUGAUUUAGGUCAGCGUUGGAAGGGAAACCACUUCGCCGACAUAAAUUGAUGGUUUCCCAAGGACAAGCUUGGUGUCCAAAAAUAAGCGCUGAUCAGAUCAUAGCAUGAGUUUUUAAUUAUUUGCAACAUUACCUUGUGUAUUGAGCAUAUAAGGAUAAUUGUAAAAAUAUUCCUUCAGGUAUUCUUGUCACUAACCUUUCCAGGAUUGGAACAAGAAGAUCAGAUGAAUGACAAGCAAGUACAAGGUAUGUCCAACCAAUCAUCAUGCAACACUGAUAAAUUCAUCCAAACUUGAAUUCUGCAAAAUUCAAGCUUGGGGGAGUACUUUACAUAAAAACAUCCUUUGCCAUGUUGCUAUGUUGGUUGUCCCUACCUUUAAGACUUGCUCAAUUUGUUAAAUACUAAUCACACUACUUCAUCUCCACUUGAGUAGAUCUCUAUAAAUGUUGUCAUGUUACUUUUGUCUAUUUACUAGUAAGUGUUAGUUUGGAAGUACUGCACAUACUUCUAUUGGCUUUUAAAUUAAGCAUGGUGCUUAGGUUAAACAGGCUUCCUUAAUCUAAUUAGACAUGGAGUCUAGUUUGGUUAUUGAACUAAAAACUGCUUGUGUAGACAUUGGUAUAUUUUUGUCGGACUAACCCCUGCAGAAAAGCAAAAAAACUUUCAAUAUCGAUUUUUGAAGUCCUGAGAUAAACUCACAUCAGAGACAAAGAGAGUGACACAUGAAGUUUAACAAUUUGCACAAGAAGGACAUAGCUCAUUCAUCAUAGAGAGAUGAUCCAUGGAGGGUACCACAAACACGAUGCACAACCGUUAAGAAAGGAAAGCUUCCACAAGGUGAUACUAUACCAUCACUCUUCAAGCAAGGUAACAUCUUAAGGUACUUGACUAUCACUUUUAUAAGCUUCUCCUUGGUUCUGGCGUUCAUAUAAAUAAAAGAGACAAACAUGUAUGAUUUACAACUCUAGAUUAACCAACCCAACUGAUUCAACAUGUUUAGUCCUUUAAUCCUUGUUCUUAGUACUACCUCCAUGAUCCCACACUCCUAAUCAUAUGAGCUAAAAUAUUACACAUUCAAUCAUUGAGAGAUAUAAAGAAAAAGACAUAUACAUAGAUAGAUUAUCUUUCUAUAAGGUUGAGCGAUCUGAUCUGACAAAUGUUAUAAGUGCUACACUCAUGAACUUUUCAUCCAUCGACUUUGUCUUGCUCACUAUGCUUAGGGUUAGAGAAGAACAAAUACACUUUAGGUUCUGUUGGUGUUUUCCACCAACAGGACCCAUGCACUUGAUCCCUGCCUUGUCUCUAUGAGCAGGUACACUUUGAGCAAAACAUGGAGGAGUUUUAUAACUCUCAGACUCUACCUAGUGAAGGACCUGGAUCUACGAGCACAAACACACUGAGCAGGUUACAGCCAACGCCGCACAUCCAACUGCUGGGCAAACGAAGAACAUGGGUGACACCGUAUCAAGAGGUGCAGACGUCAAGGUCCGCACCUGAAUCAAAUGACGCACCUGAAGAAUGAACACGGUGAGAAGUCUCGUUAAGAAGACUUAAAACAUUGAACCCUCGCCCAAAGGUAAGAUCAGUAGUUAUCCAUAUUUAUCCUUUCUGCAUUCCCUUUUCCCUUUAAUUAUUUACUUUCCUUAAAUAGAUUAUUAGUUAAUCAUGCUAUCUUGAAAAGAAAAUAAAAAUGUUAAAAAAAUAUUAAGCCCCAUGUGAGUAUACGAGUGGCAUAAAACCCAUAAGUACCUUCACUGUGGUGGCAUAAAAAUAAAAUAAAUAUUUAUUUUCUGCUUUAUAAAUAAAAAUAUAAAAACAGGGAGUAAUAUUUAUUGAGGAAGCUCAACAUGAUGAAGGCUAUAUAUUUAUGCUAACACUUAAUUAGUUCCACAAGCUUUGUUGUCUAUUUGAGCUCCACAGAAUUUAAGAAUCAAGAAGACUAGCAGACGGAGGAUAUUCUAAUUGCUGUCACAAUGCUGCUGACUUUCAAAUACACCUCUGCCACCUGCUAGCUACAUCAAGAGAAAUUACGUCAAAAUUCAGCUUGGGGGAGACCACCCCCAUUUAUCUCGCUAAGUAUUUCUACAUAUCUUUAUACUUAUAUUAUAUUAGAAUAUUAAAAUACAUAAACUAUGAAAAACCAAAUAAAGAUUUUGUGCUUAUAUAUAUCUUUUGCUUAGUGUGUUUAAUAAAUAAAUAAAGUGGCUAUGCUAAUCUGAAUCUUAAUAAUAAAACUCUAGCAUGGAUAUGAUGAAUAGUUGCUCUGCCUAAUUUGCAAAUUUGAAGUUCUCUCUCAAGUUUAGACAUAACUGUUAUAAUUUAAAGCUUGCUCUAGAUUUAAACUUGUGGGAUGAAACCUUGAUCUGAAAUCUAAGUUGUUAAUGGAUAUGAUAUGGGAAUGUUGAGCUGCUGUUUAUCUGUUCCUAGAGAUGCUAGAAUUCUGGAGAAUUUUAUCUUUGAAAAAAUCUUUAAAAUAUUGCAUGAUGAGUUCUUGUAUGAUGAAAGUUUAAAUUCCUACCACAGCCAUAUAUACAUGCUUGCUAGACUUUGAGCCACACAUUUAUUAUUUACUGCUUAUGAGCAUUGAGUGUGGUCAAGCUGUGUAGACCCUUAGGAGCUUGUCAUGUGGUUAAAUCAAGAUUCACUUGCACGUUCACUCAUAUAUGCUACUUCUACUCCGGAAGUACCAUCCACAUAUAUCCAUCUCCAGAACCACCCAAAAAUAUUCUACUCCUAAUCCGAGAGAGAAUAGCCAAAAAUAUUUCUGUUUUCCCUUGUGAAAUAAAUGCUCAAGUUAUCUUGCUACUACCACUUGCUAUAUUAUCUCAAGAGAUGAAUGCUCUGAAAAGAAAAAAAAAGAGAAGAGAAAAAAAUAUAUAUAUGAGGAAAUUAAAAGGGGCAAGUGCCCGGAACCUCGAAAGAAAGAAAAAGUGAGACGAGAGGUAAAAAUGGACAAGUGUCCGACAGAAGAAUUAGGGGUACAAGAUACCCACCUGAGAGGAAAUAAAAAGAAGAGCAUCUCAUUCUCCUCAUAAAGUUGCAAAAAGCAAGGAAGGUAUAUAUCCCCUCAAAAGAGCAAAAGUAGAAUUAGACUUUCACAAUUGUUAUCACCAUCAUCACCAUACACCAUUCAUUCGCCACAUAUGCAAAUCUUGAUUUGACUUAUUGACUUGUUUCUCUGGAUCCAUGGUUUGACUAUGCAAUAAAUGUCUUGUAAGUAUGUAUUAGCUGUCUCCCACCUAUGAGCUCCAGAUAUUAAAGCCUUAUUAGAGUAGGGUGAGAGAGAAGGCAAUGUCACUAUGCCUUAUACCACAAAUACCAUAUAUCUUGAGAGAAGGCAUAUACCAUCACUGCCUUGGUAAGGAUCCAGAAAUACCAUAAAAGAGAGAUUUAGAGAGUCAUACAAGGAAUCUCUAAGUUUUAUUUGAAAAUCUGCAAAAACUCCAGAGCUAUAGCUGAUCAAGAAUAAGAGACAUGGCACUUGGCUAGACUGUUCUAUCUUUUAACUACUCAAGACAGAAGUGACGGUUACAAGUCCCAUGGUGAAAGGUAAAGUAAGUAAGUUUUAGUUCUUGAUAGUUUACUCUAACUCAGAGAUGAGAUCUUAUUUAAAAGCAUGUGUACCGUCAAAUUUUUAAGAUAUUGCAACAACUUCUGAUCCAUUGCUGAGUCUAUCCUUGCUCAGGGACGAGCAAGAGGUAAGCUUGGGGGAGUUUGUGGACGGUCCUUAAGUAUCAAAUUUAAUUAUCAAAUAAACAAAGAAAAGGAUCCAAAUGAAAUCAACAUCUAGACUUAGGGUUUUAUCUGACAGACUUCCACGAGUUUUGGUGUUUGUCUAUUUUUGCAGGGGGUUAUCAGGAAAUAUGGAAGAAAUGCCCACACGUCGGGAUUACAUAGAGAUAUUAACGUGCCGCGCAAUUAUCUCACAUCUAGAAGACUCCAGAAGCCACGGGAAGGAAGCGGAGGCCGAACGGGGCCAGAGGCAGGGCGCCCGCCCUCCUGCCCUAGGCGCCCGCCCUGACUUGGAGCCCAAUCAGGACUCUUUCUCUCGGGAGAUCUCCACCGACCUAAAGGAUCAAGAAUAACCGUUCAAUCAAUGUCGGUUUGAUCCGACGGCCCAGGUUCACUUGAGGGGACUAUAUAACCAGACCCCCUGGCCCCUGGAGGAGGCAACCCCUUGAUCAUUAUUCAUUAUUCAUAGACAGAGCAAAAGCUAGGGUUUAGAGAUGAGAGCUCUCCUCUCUUCUCUAAACUAUAGUAGAUCUAGAUAGUAGCAAGAUGGAGAGCGAAGGAGGAUUAGAGGAGAGGCCGGCCUGUCGGUUCUUCCUCCGGUUGUACUUCGUCAUGAUCAAGCUCUAAUCAAGCUUGC
rnacentral:lncRNA from 1 species